ACCAAUCUGACUUGAAACUGCUGAGUGCGCUGUAGCCUGUAUGCGACUGACACUUCAGUACGUUGGUAUUUAGUCUAUUCUGAGGCUGUAUGGUCAAUGAUCUUUGCCUGUCCUGAGAGGAAUUAAAAAACAAUAUUAGUCUAUUGUCUGGUACUACUCUCUAGUAUAGUGUACAAUCUAUGGGUACUGCAGUGGUAAAAAUAUGAGUUUCGUAAUUGUGGAGAAAGAAGGACUCUAUUCUAUUGUUGUUAAACAUGGCAGAUAAAUAUAGAAAGUGUGUGAAGUGUGGUGUAUCUGCUGCGUAAGACCCACUUACUUUUCAUUCUUUCCCGAGAGCUGGAAAGGCAUCUAAUUUAGCAAGUGGUUGAAAGUUGAAAAUAUUGCUGAAGUGGAGUUGAAAGACUUGCACAAGAGCCAUAAGUUAUUGUGUAGUAAGCAUUUUGAUCGCAGUGCCUUCACGAAUGAGACGAUGAAAAGGUUAAAUCCUAAUGCUGUUCCAAAUUUGUUGUUCCCACCAUUAUUAGCGGAAUUGUCACAAAUGGAAGAUUCAGCGAGAACUUCAGUGUCUUCGCAAUCUUUUACACAAUAUCUGCCUAACUCGCCUCUAAAAGGUCAAACACUGCAAUUGGACAUUACUUUUGUGACUCAACCUGUCAAUUUGAAGAACACAAAAAAGGCAAAAAUUCUGCAGCAAGUAGAAAAUCGCUAUUAGACUCUCUCUCAAAGAGUGAGUACUUAGAAAAAUUAAAUGAAAAUUUAAAACCUGCAUUUGGUGUGCUUUGACAAAGCCAAAUGGUUAAUACACCUAGAAAAUUAAAUGGUCGUCGUUGGACUCUAAAUGAAAAAAUCAUAGCACUGGCUAUGUAUAAAAAAUCCAGUGCAUGCUAUAGAUUGCUCAGAAGAUUGUUUUGCUUGCCAAACCCUGGUACUUUAAAAAGUCUUUUAAAUUAAGUAAAUUUACCUUGUGGAAUUGACAGUAAAGUUAUGGCAAAUUUAAAGGAAAUUACACUAACACAGUCAAAAACUGAUAAUUUGUGUACAUUAAUGUUUGACGAGAUGGCAAUUCGAAAAAUAAUCGUAUGUUAUAUAUUCCAAGAACAGACAAGAUUGAAGGAUACCAGGAUCAUGGUUCCCAAGGUAGAAGCCAACAAAUAGCAUCACAUGCAUUGGUUUUUAUGUUGGUAGGAUUAAGAAAAAGGUGGAAGCAACCAAUAGCCCACUAUUUCUCAGGAGAAUCGGUAACAGCUGAUAGACUUCAAGCAAUUAUUAAAGAGGACUGGCAAAAUGGAAGCAUAUCCAAGACUUUUUUAAAGUGGACAAUAAAAAUCCCAAUUUCGUAUUUACACCUGCACUCACAGAACAACAUAUUAAUCCAAAUGGGAAACAAAAAAUGAAAGUGAAGUUAGCAGCACAAGUUUUAAAUCAUUCGGUUGCUGCAGCAUUGUUUGCUAAAGUUUCUUCAAGUAUGUUGCUUAUAUAUUAAUGUGUAUCUUGAGUUGCUACAAAUAGGACAAGUCCUACAUAUCAUAACAAAAGACCUUGAAUUAAAAAAAACCAUAAAUGCACACCCUUUAGCAUGGUAAUAUUAUUAUAGAUUUUGAACUUAUAUAUUCAGUAGGUACUUUAGUUUAUCAGAUAUUUAUAACAACCGGAAAUUGUAUGACAAUUUAGUAAAGGAAAUAAGCAGGCAUAGAAAUUUACUUUUCCUUUGUUCAGACCAAUUUAUGCUUAUUAAAAUUAAAUUAUGGUUAGUUUGAUAU